rnacentral:rRNA from 1 species
GACGAACGCUGGCGGCGUGCCUAAUACAUGCAAGUAGAACGCACAGUUUAUACCGUAGCUUGCUACACCAUAGACUGUGAGUUGCGAACGGGGGAGUAACGCGUAGGUAACCUGCCUGGUAGCGGGGGGUAACUAUUGGAAACGAUAGCUAAUACCGCAUAAUAUUAAUUAUUGCAUGAUAAUUAAUUGAAAGGUGCAAUUGCACCACUACCUGAUGGACCUGCGUUGUAUUAGCUAGUAGGUGAGGUAACGGCUCACCUAGGCGACGAUACAUAGCCGACCUGAGAGGGUGAUCGGCCACACUGAGACUGAGACACGGCCCAGACUCCUACAGGAGGGAGCAGUAGGGAAUCUUCGGCAAUGGACGAAAGUCUGACCGAGCAACGCCGCGUGAGGGAAGAAGGGUUUCGGAUCGUAAAGCUCUGUUGUAAGAGAAGAACGGGUGUGAGAGUGGAAAGUUCACACUGUGACGGUAUCUUACCAGAAAGGGACGGCUAACUACGUG